rnacentral:lncRNA from 1 species
AAUUAUGCACAUAUGCUUGUAUAUACAUACAUAUGUAUCCAAUGACUGAUAAAUGAUGUUAUUUAGAAUAUGAAUUAAGCUCAUGUAAGUUGUUAUGGAUGUUAAACGGCGAUAUUGUCAUUUAAAGGCGGACGGGUAUUCGAUUUGAUUGAUUGCCCGACGGAUGGGCUGUGUGUAUUAAUAUUAUAUAUAUUAUUGUGAUAUUUAAACAGGUAGAUAGUCCUAUUUUUAGGGGAGAUGCUGCCGAAAUUUUAAUAGAACCUAGACUAGUUUUAAUUAAUGACAUGAUUAAAUAAGUUCAUUUAGAUUAAUUUCUAUAAUUUGGUAUAUAAUAAAUAUAGUGCUCUGAUUAUUUACUAUCUUUAUUAUUCAUUUAAUUAUUUACAUAUUUAUUUAUUUAUUUUCAUUAUUAUUGUUAAUAUUGUUAUUUAUUUUAUUAUUGUUGAUUAUUGUUAAUACUAUUUAUUUAUUUAUUUGCAUUGAUUUUGGAUGUUUAAUUGUGCAUUGCAUUACGAUGUUUAAUUGAUUAAUAUGUCUGCAUUUGAUUGCAAUGUUUGAUUAAUUGUGUUGUGAUAAUGCUAUGCUUUGUUUGUGUGGAAUUGGGAUGAAGUGGGUCACCAUGGGUUUGUGAGACUGUUUCUGUUAUACGGAUCCUGAUUCUG